CAACGGGGCAUUGCCCUCAGUAGCGGCGAGUGAAGCGGCAAGAGCUCAGAUUUGAAAUCUCACCUAGUGUGCGAGUUGUAAAUUGCAGGUUGGAGUCUCGGGUUAGACGUGUGUGCAAGUCCCUUGGAACAGGGUGCCACUGAGGGUGAGAGCCCCGUAGCGUGCAUGUCGACACCUGUGAGGCCCUUCUGACGAGUCGAGUUGUUUGGGAAUGCAGCUCUAAGUGGGUGGUAAAUUCCAUCUAAGGCUAAAUAUUGGCGAGAGACCGAUAGCGAACAAGUACUGUGAAGGAAAGAUGAAAAGCACUUUGAAAAGAGAGUGAAACAGCACGUGAAAUUGUUGAAAGGGAAGGGUAUUGGGCUCGACAUGGGAUUUACGCAUCGUUGCCUCUCGUGGGCGGCGCUCUGGGUUUUUCCUGGGCCAGCAUCGGUUUUCGUUGCAGGAUAAGGACAAUUGGAAUGUGGCUCCUCGGAGUGUUAUAGCCUUUUGUAGAUGCUGCGUAUGGGGACCGAGGGCUGCGGCGGACUCGUUUCGUCUCGGAUGCUGGCACAACGGCGCAAUACCGCCCGUCUUGAACACACGGACCAAA
rnacentral:rRNA from 1 species